rnacentral:rRNA from 1 species
UUCCAGACUCCUACGGGAGGCAGCAGUGGGGAAUAUUGCACAAUGGGGGAAACCCUGAUGCAGCGACGCCGCGUGAGUGAAGAAGUAUUUCGGUAUGUAAAGCUCUAUCAGCAGGGAAGAAAAUGACGGUACCUGACUAAGAAGCCCCGGCUAACUACGUGCCAGCAGCCGCGGUAAUACGUAGGGGGCAAGCGUUAUCCGGAUUUACUGGGUGUAAAGGGAGCGUAGACGGCAGCGCAAGUCUGAAGUGAAAUCCCAAGGCUUAACCAUGGAACUGCUUUGGAAACUGAGCAGCUAGAGUGCAGGAGAGGUAAGCGGAAUUCCUAGUGUAGCGGUGAAAUGCGUAGAUAUUAGGAGGAACACCAGUGGCGAAGGCGGCUUACUGGACUGUAACUGACGUUGAGGCUCGAAAGCGUGGGGAGCAAACAGGAUUAGAUACCCGAGUAC